CUUAACACAUGCAAGUCGAGGGGCAGCACAGGUAGCAAUACCGGGUGGCGACCGGCGCACGGGUGAGUAACGCGUAUGCAACUUACCUAUCAGAGGGGGAUAACCCGGCGAAAGUCGGACUAAUACCGCAUGAAGCAGGGGCCCCGCAUGGGGAUAUUUGCUAAAGAUUCAUCGCUGAUAGAUAGGCAUGCGUUCCAUUAGGCAGUUGGCGGGGUAACGGCCCACCAAACCGACGAUGGAUAGGGGUUCUGAGAGGAAGGUCCCCCACAUUGGUACUGAGACACGGACCAAACUCCUACGGGAGGCAGCAGUGAGGAAUAUUGGUCAAUGGCCGAGAGGCUGAACCAGCCAAGUCGCGUGAGGGAUGAAGGUUCUAUGGAUCGUAAACCUCUUUUAUAAGGGAAUAAAGUGCGGGACGUGUCCCGUUUUGUAUGUACCUUAUGAAUAAGGAUCGGCUAACUCCGUGCCAGCAGCCGCGGUAAUACGGAGGAUCCGAGCGUUAUCCGGAUUUAUUGGGUUUAAAGGGUGCGUAGGCGGCCUUUUAAGUCAGCGGUGAAAGUCUGUGGCUCAACCAUAGAAUUGCCGUUGAAACUGGGGGGCUUGAGUAUGUUUGAGGCAGGCGGAAUGCGUGGUGUAGCGGUGAAAUGCAUAGAUAUCACGCAGAACCCCGAUUGCGAAGGCAGCCUGCCAAGCCAUUACUGACGCUGAUGCACGAAAGCGUGGGGAUCAAACAGGAUUAGAUACCCUGGUAGUCCACGCAGUAAACGAUGAUCACUAGCUGUUUGCGAUACACUGUAAGCGGCACAGCGAAAGCGUUAAGUGAUCCACCUGGGGAGUACGCCGGCAACGGUGAAACUCAAAGGAAUUGACGGGGGCCCGCACAAGCGGAGGAACAUGUGGUUUAAUUCGAUGAUACGCGAGGAACCUUACCCGGGUUUGAACGCAUUCGGACCGAGGUGGAAACACCUUUUCUGGCAAUAGCCGUUUGCGAGGUGCUGCAUGGUUGUCGUCAGCUCGUGCCGUGAGGUGUCGGCUUAAGUGCCAUAACGAGCGCAACCCUUGCCACUAGUUACUAACAGGUAAAGCUGAGGACUCUGGUGGGACUGCCAGCGUAAGCUGCGAGGAAGGCGGGGAUGACGUCAAAUCAGCACGGCCCUUACAUCCGGGGCGACACACGUGUUACAAUGGCGUGGACAAAGGGAAGCCACCUGGCGACAGGGAGCGAAUCCCCAAACCACGUCUCAGUUCGGAUCGGAGUCUGCAACUCGCCUGCAUGAAGCCGGAAUCGCUAGUAAUCGCGGAUCAGCAUGCCGCGGUGAAUACGUUCCCGGGCCUUGUACACACCGCCCGUCAAGCCAUGGGAGCCGGGGGUACCUGAAGUCCGUAACCGCGAGGAUCGGCCUAGGGUAAAACUGGUGACUGGGGCUAAGUCAUAAC
rnacentral:rRNA from 1 species